UACGUAGGGGGCAAGCGUUAUCCGGAUUUACUGGGUGUAAAGGGAGUGUAGACGGCAUGGCAAGCCAGAUGUGAAAGCCCGGGGCUCAACCCCGGGACUGCAUUUGGAACUGUCAGGCUGGAGUGUCGGAGAGGAAAGCGGAAUUCCUAGUGUAGCGGUGAAAUGCGUAGAUAUUAGGAGGAACACCAGUGGCGAAGGCGGCUUUCUGGACGAUGACUGACGUUGAGGCUCGAAAGCGUGGGGAGCAAACAGG
rnacentral:rRNA from 1 species